UGGUGGAGCGAUUUGUCUGGUCAAUUCCGAUAACGAACGAUACUCUAGCCUACUAAAUAGUUCGGGGACCCCCACAAAGGGGCCCCGCUUCAACUUCUUAGAGGGACAGGUGGCGUUUAGCCACACGAGAUUGAGCAAUAACA
rnacentral:rRNA from 1 species